GACGAACGCUGGCGGCGUGCUUAACACAUGCAAGUCGAACGGAGAGGCCUCUUUCGGGGAGUGAGCGGGUGGCGAACGGGCGGGUAACUAGUGAGUAAGCUGCCCUUGACUUUGGGAUAGAUUCAGGAAACAGGGGCUAACAAAGACUAGGAAAUAGUGCUGCUUGGAGGGGGUUGGAAAGUAUGGGCGGUUGGGGUUAGAAUGUCGGCUUAUUAGCUUGUUAGUGGAGGAGUGGCUUACAAAGGCUUAGACUGGUAGCCGGCCUGAGAGGGUGACCGGCCACAUUAGUACUGCGAGACGGCCCAGACGCCUACCGGAGGCAGCAGUGGGGAACAUUGCACAAUGGGUGGAAGCCAGAUGCAGCAACGCCCUGUUCGGGAUGACCGCCUUCGGGUUGUAAACCGCUUUCGCUCAUGACGAAGCUUUGUGUGACGGUAGUUGGUAAAGAAGCACCGGCUAACUACGUG
rnacentral:rRNA from 1 species